AUUGAACGCUGGCGGCAGGCCUAACACAUGCAAGUCGAACGAGUGGCGGACGGGUGAGUAAUGUCUGGGAAACUGCCCGAUGGAGGGGGAUAACUACUGGAAACGGUAGCUAAUACCGCCUACCAUCGGAUGUGCCCAGAUGGGAUUAGCUUGUAGGUGAGGUAACGGCUCACCUAGGCGACGAUCCCUAGCUGGACUGAGAGGAUGACCAGUAACACCGGAACUGAGAAACGGCCCACACUCCUACGGGGGGCAGCAGUGGGGAAGAUUGGACAAAGGGCGAAAGCCUGAUCCAGCCAUGACGCGUGUGUGAAGAAGGUCUUCGGAUUGUAAAGCACUUUAAGUUGGGAGGCGUUACCAACAGAAUAAGCACCGGCUAACUUCGUGCCAGCCGCCGCGGUAAUUC
rnacentral:rRNA from 1 species